GUUUCAGCAGCGCUCAGCAGCCCAGAAAUCCGAAGGAAUGCCAGAGAAAUCGACACCCUGGAUAACACUGAUAUAUCAGAUGUAGAAGACAUAGUGAAACUGCUUAAGCCACUGAAGACAGCCACAACAGUUGUCUGUGAUGAAAAAGAGCCCACUGUUUCACUUAUAAUGCCACUGAAGUACAUGAUCGAGCAAAGCAUGUCACCAGACGAAAAUGACACACAGACCAUCGCCAACAUGAAAAGCGCAAUCCUACGCGACAUCUCGGACCGGUAUUCUGGGGACUGUAAUGAUAUGCUGCAGGAGUGCACAGCGCUUGACCCACGAUUCCGAAGCCUGUCCCAUCUGAAUAAUGAACAACGCGAGUCCGUCUAUGCCCGGAUACGUGAAAAAGCUGCAGGACCUCAUUUGCCACGCAACCAGACCAGUGACACUGAUGAAAGAACAACGAGGGCCAGUGCUUCAACACCAGGAGCAGCAGAGCAGGCCAUGGUCGAGGUUGAGACGGCACAGGGAGCAGAGCCAGUAGAAGGAGAAAGGCAGAUGCAGGAUGUGACACAGCCUCCCCCACCAAAGAAGACAGCGCUAGAAGAUCUCCUUGGGAGCUCCUACACUACUCUUGAGCCAGUGCAGUCCAGCAGAGGGAUUGAAAUGGAGAUAGUCGCCUACAGAAAUGGGAUUCCUAUCCCACUCAACAGUAGUCCACUUGAGUGGUGGAAAGUUAAUGCAUAUGCUUACCCCAUACUUGCCCCCCUUGCCAAAGCCUACCUUUGCAUUCCUGCUACGUCAGUGCCCAGUGAACGGGUCUUUUCGACGGCAGGAGACAUUGUGUGUGCUCAAAGAUCACUAAUUACACCAGAACAUGUCGAUAUGUUAGUUUUUCUGAAGAAGAACCAGUCCUAGGCCAGGGCCAUGACUUAAAAGAGGCUGAGCUAACGUAAUGUAGGGUUAAGUGUUCUUGUUUGUGUUUGAAAGGUUGGGCCGUGUGUUUCCUAGUGUGCAACUAAAACAAAAAUAAAUACGUUGUAAUUAC